AGAGAGAUGGUCGAGUGGUUCAAGGCGUAGCAUUGGAAUUGCUAUGUAGACAUUUGUUUACCGAAAGUUUGAAUCUGCCUUUUUUCG
rnacentral:tRNA from 1 species